UGGCUCAGAUGGUAAAGCGUCUGCCUACAAUGCAGGAGACCUGGGUUCAAUCCCUG
rfam:TPA: Bos taurus chromosome 12, whole genome shotgun sequence.